CGCGUCCAAGCAGUUAGGCUGGGAAAUAGGCAAAUCCGUUUCCCGUGAAGGCUGAGCUGUGAUGGCGAGCGAAUUAUAGUAGCGAAGUUCCUGAUUCCACACUGCCAAGAAAAGCCUCUAGCGAGGGGAGAGGUGCCCGUACCGCAAACCGACACAGGUAGGCGAGGAGAGAAUCCUAAGGUGAUCGAGAGAACUCUCGUUAAGGAACUCGGCAAAAUGACCCCGUAACUUCGGGAGAAGGGGUGCUCUGUUAGGGUGCAAGCCCGAGAGAGCCGCAGUGAAUAGGCCCAGGCGACUGUUUAGCAA
rnacentral:rRNA from 1 species